AGGACGAACGCUGGCGGCGUGCUUAACACAUGCAAGUCGAGCGAGGCUCUCCUUCGGGAGAUGUCCGAGCGGCGAACGGGUGAGUAACACGUGGGCAACCUGCCUCUAGCUCUGGGAUAACUCCGGGAAACCGGGGCUAAUACCGGAUACGACCUCGAGCGGCAUCUAUCGAGGUGGAAAGUUUUUCGGCUAGAGAUGGGCCCGCGGCCUAUCAGCUUGUUGGUGAGGUAACGGCCCACCAAGGCGACGACGGGUA
rnacentral:rRNA from 1 species